ensembl:lincRNA
AUGACUGUACAGUAAGCACACAGCAGCACAACUGAUAAUGUCCGGCAGAUUGUGAGCUACUCCGUGAUGUUCCGUCUCCCAGUGUUCAUAAUGUGAGGUCUGUGCAACUUGAAUAUUCACAAAGUCUGGGACUUAGCUGUACUGUGAUUAUAUCUGGAACGGUCUGGUUUUGGCAGUGAACAUUAUCUCCAAAGAAUUCAUUUUCAACAAAUUUUCCCAUUUGCUAUUUUUUUAAAUAGAAUCUUGUUAUUUUAAGUACUUAAUGUUGUAUGUUAGCAGUGUUCAUUGUUUUUUCUGAUUUCUUGCUUGUUGGAGUUUCAUAGCAUCUUUAUUUUAGCUGUGCAGGGAGAUGCAGAAUCAGAUGAGGAAGACUAUGUCUGGAAAGCUAUCUAAUCUUGGCGAUGGUAGUAAGGUUCUGUAGGUGGAAAUAAUUUUACUACAAAUUGUGUAUUCUAGCUUUCAGUUGGGGAUUAAGAUUGGAUCCUACCCAUAAUUAUGUAUUUUUCUUUCAGAAAAAAAUAAAAUUUGCUGCUGAUAUAGAAGAAGAUGAUGAUGAUGACAGUGAUGAACAUAAUGAUGAUGAUUUUGAUCAUGAUCAUGAAGAAACUGAGGAGAAAGCUCCUGUGAAGAAAGUGAGUAAAAUAAAAUUAUUAAAAAUAGUUAAUAAUAAAAAUGAUGGAAGGGUUUUUUUUAUUGCUUUUUCACUUAUUUAUAGCUAAUGAAAAUUGGUGUGAGCAUCUCAUACUGAAUUGUUCUGAAUUAUGACUUUACUGAGAACUUUUAGUUUGGAAUUAAUUUUUUUAACCAUGGUGUGGGGAAACAUUUGAACUGAGAAUAUCUCAUGUAACAGGGACACUGAUUCAAAUUCAUUUCUAAUAGCAGUCAAUACCAGAUACUCUGGCCGAAAAUACACAGAAAUCAAACCAGAAUGGAAGGACUCAAAACUAUCAAUAUAAAGAUCAAAAAUUUUACACUACAUUUUAGUACACAGGACAAAAAACUACAAAGAAUAGGGAAAACAGCAGAAAGGAUGUUUUAUGAUAUCAAAACAUUUGAGAGAAAACUUCACAUUUUUGAAAGAGACCUUGAAACAUCAAUUGAAAUACUUUCCAAAUCUAAAAAUGCAUUUAGAAAGUUCUACAUUGCAAACAAUCCUACAAGCUAUCAGGAAAUCUACGGGAAUUUUCUAGCAUUGGAGCAGCUGCAAAGGAGAAUUUUAGUAACAGAUUUUUACAGUUUUGUAAGAUGGAGACAAACCUGUGUUUUCUUACUGCUCCAGAAAAAGCCAAUUUGAAGAACUUGAUCUUUCCUGCUUACACUGGUUAGAUUUUGGAAAUCUGGAAAUGGAGCUAUUGGAAUUUCAAGAAAGCUGUGUCUGGAAAAGCAAAUUCUGUGACCUGCCUGAAAUACUAGUGAAGAUAAAGUGUGAAGAGAUGACAAAGGACAGCACAGUUGGGAGUUCUGAAAAUGAAACCCUUAAGUGUACAAUUCUGUGUGAAAUAAUUUUAAGUCAGUGAAAGCACUUGGGAUUGCUUUUCUUUGUUUGGAUUGUCUCAAGUUUGUGAGAAGCUGUUUGCAGCUUUGAAUUAUAUCAAAUCAUAUACAAGAAAUAGACUGAAGGAUGAUGUGAUUGCUGCAUGUGUUGGUCUCUAACAAAGCAUGGGCCAAGGUAUGACAGACUUAUCAGCAUGCACACCACGGUGAAGAUUACAUUAAUUGUGCAGAAGCACGACAAAUACAAACUCACAUUUCCAUAAAAAGUUGUUUGUAUUAUUGGAAGCUCUGUUACCAUGUUUUUGUUUUUGUUUUAGGAGAAAGAUGUUAAUGUAUGUGGCUUUUUUUUAAAGGAAAACCUUGGUAUUUAAGUUUUAAUUGCACUGUUGACACUGAUAAAAAACUGCGUUUUGGUUUGUAGAUUGGGCACCCAGCCUGUGGAGAGUUUGCCAUCACUGGCCUAAAAGAACAGUCUAAGUAUGUUGGGUUCACUACUAUCUUGAUCUUAUGGUCUCAGGCAACCACUGGGGAUAUGGUGAAUGUAUCCCUGGUGCAUAAGGGGAGAUGCUGCACUUAUGCCUGUUUUACGUAUUUGAAGUUUCUUUAUCUUUUUUUUCCUAUCUGCAUUUAAAAAUCCCAGACAUUAACUGUAGUACUUAAUACAAAAAAGAAAGCAAGCAGGCAGGCUAAUAGAAGGCCAAGCCAGCCAGAUGGCCUCUUCUGCUGUAACCUCGAGCUUUUGAUCUAGAAUGACUAGGACUCAAGAGCCAUUUGAGAUAAUCUCUGGGUUGACAUGCUGUCAAGUUCACACACAUACUCCCACUGCCAUGCUACAAUAGCUAUGACUGUGAGGUCGCAGGUGACAAUUCUUUUGCAUUCAGAGGAGACAAAAAGUCUCUUGAUUUCUCUUAAUGAAUUUGUAUAUUUUCUAUGUAUUGAAAAUAAUAUAAAAUGCCUGUGUCAUCUUUCCUCCUCCCCUAACCCCUUUUGCCUGCCAGAAAAUUCCCAGGCAAAUUUUAAGCUCACUUAAAUAUUAUACUUCUUGGCUGUACGUUUUUUUGUUUUGUUUUGUUUUGGGAACCAGAAAUUAAACUCAGAAUCUUGCACUUCCCAGGCAGGUGCACACCACUGAGCUAUAUCCCCAGCAGAGACUGCAUAUUAUAUGCUCUGUAUGUUAAAUGUCCUUUGGAUUUGGUUUUUUAUUUCUAUUACGUGUUCUUUGUUCUCUGUUUUUUAGGUUAGAUUGAUUUUAUUGCAUAUAGGCUAAAAUGAUAUUCAGAAUUUUCAAUGAAUUUUUUCCUCCUUACAUUUCUUGGUCCCCCUAUACUCCCUCUAGAGUCCCCCUCAUUCAGUCACCAGGACCAGGUGGCAUCCUUGCCCCAGGGAGGGAUGUCACAGUAGAAAGAUGAGAAGAAUCUUUGUGUCUCAAAACCCAAACCCUGAGGGACUACUGGCCUGCACUUUAGAUUUGGGAGAGGAAAAACACAAACACACAGAGCAAAGCUGGCUGUAGGUUUGAGGCUGGAGAAGAGAGUACAGUAAAAGGAAGUUGGGAGGGAAGAGCAGAAAACCCAGACUGGGAUAGAAAUCUGUCCUAGAGAGGCUGGUGCCGUUUCCCAGUCCAAGCCCAGGGAACACAGCAGCCCAAGUCAGAAAUGGCUGUGAACACAGCAGCCCAAGUCAGAAAUGGCUGUGUGAUCAGGCAGAUGAACCUGCACCCAGCUGCCAGAGUUCCCUGCAGCCCAGAAGGAACAAGGGCCAUCCAAAAUGACUCCCAUAUGCCCCAGAGGGGUUGCUCAGGGAGAGUAAGUGAGGGGACUUAAGUUGAGAAUAAGGACCAUGUGAUAGCAUCCUUACCAAGACCAAAGUAAGCUGCUGGCCACCAUCCCAGAUGCCAGCAGCAUGGACAGCGGUGAAGACAAGUGUUGGGCUUGCCUGGACAUCUUGUAGGCCCCAAAACAGAUCAAAUCAGGGAAAUGGUAAGUUGACUGAGGUGACCAUUCUGCCCACUUGGUAAAAUGUCACUCAUGAAAGAAACUGAGUUGCCUUGUAGAGAAAUAGCUGUGUACCUUGUAAACCUGAGUUUGCCCCCAUCCAUACUCUGAGCCCCUCAAUGGAAUGGAAUGAGAAAACAUCAAAUAAGGCAGCAAAGAGCCUUCUUCUGAAAUUAAUCCUUUCUUGGAGGCUUCCCAGGACAGACUGCCUCCUUGGGAUCGUCCCUCUGAUAAGGAUUGAAUCUCCCCAAUCCAGGUGCAGCUAGAUCUACCUUCCACAUUGCAAAGGGCCGGGAAGCCCUCAGACUCACUUUGUACUUCUUCCUUGGUAGCUGAUGCUUCUGAAUCAGCUGGAGCUGCCACCCAGCACAAAGGGCCUGGAAGCUUUCCAGGAGCUUCGGGAAAGGAGUACAUUAUGUCGAAGAUUUUUGGCCUUUGUAGCUAAUAUCAUCCUUAAAUGCUAUUUGAAAUAACAAAUUCCAAAUGCAUGAAUGCUUGUGUGACCUUGAAAACUUUUGCUAGUUGCAAGCCCAAGCUUUAUUAUUUCACGAGUGAAGACUGGUUUUGUUAUCUGUUGCGAGUUGUCUUACCAGUCUGACCGUUACUUUACCUGUCUUUCAAAUGAGCAUAAGAAUAAUUUCUUCAUGGGGGACUGACUGAUACCGAACAGAUGUUCACAAAGCCCCAAAGGAUCACCGUGACAGGUCCCUCCGUAGGACGCAGAUCGCUGUUAUGUAAUAAUUUUGGCCUUCUAGUUUUGAUUGAAAAAUGAUACAUGCGCAUCUAUGUGCACAAAUGUGUCCGUGCUGAUGGGGACACGGGCUCUUGAGACAGCGCCAUCCAUGCAGAGUGGAAGAUGGGGUCCCCGAAGCAAUACUCCUUCCCAGUACCGUGUUACACGCAGAGAAUGAUCGGGGGAGGCGGGGCUUCAUUUUUUAAAAUUGAGAUGUCCGUGUCCUUUGAGUGCCAACAUCAGUGGUGAAGGACGCCGUGGCCAGUGCAGUAAGAGGCAGUGGAAGCUCACGGUGCUGGCCAACUUGGCUGUGCUGAGUCUCUGGUGCCCUCUGCUGUAAUGUGGGAAACAAACACUUCUUCAGGGAGCCAUAAAUGUCUGCAGAGAAGGAAAACAGAGUGCUCUUUACUUCUCACAAGUUUCCACCUGACUUACUUAACACGAUGUCCUGUACUACAGCACAGCAGCGUCACUGUGGUUUAUAAGAGUUCAUUGUGUAUUAUGUGAGGAACUAGGAGAGAUGACUUCAGAGGUUCCCCUAAAGGGAUGAUAUGGGUUCAAGGAGAUGGGAAUGUUGAUUGCUUUGAUUUGAUCAUGAUGCAGGUACAGAAUUAUCACACUAUAGUGCAUAUGCAUGGGAAAGGAUUAUAUGUCAAUAUAUAAGAGUUUUCAGCCAGGUUAAAUGGUACACACCUGCAAUCAGCAUUAUAGGAAAGUGUAGCAGCAAGAUUGCAAGUUUAGAUAAUUAUUUUUCCCAGGAAUCAAACUUGGGACCUGAUGCCUGCCAGGCAGACACUGUACCACUGAGCUAUAUCCCCAGCUACUUGUCUCGGUAAACAAAAGAAAAAACUUGAAUUUUGAGUAGUACUGUUUUGAGGUUUCUAUUUUGGGUAUUUGUCUCUCCCAACCUGGUUAUCCUAUUAUAUUGGUUCCAAAAUUAGAACCUUAAUAUAUUGGAUCAAAACAGGAAAUAGACUAAAUGUUUUG